AAUGAAUUCCGAGGCCCAUUUUGAAAAUCUGAAGUGUUGACUUGUUUUUCUCAUCCUCGGCAUAGGUUCUCCCGGUGACGUACUGCUUAAAAUUGUUUUGGUUUCUGCACCUCUGAUUAAUUUGUCACUUGCAGACGCUUCACCUUUGUCACGGUCUCUGCUUAAACAACAUCAACCUGUGACGUUUGGUCUUUGGUUAUUAAGAAUAAGAAUAAGAAUACAAGGAUGGAGACAAAGAAGAAGAAAGAGGAGGAAGAAAACAAAAUCACAUGGACUAGAUAAUGUAGCGCUGUUACAAACGGGGAGCGUGAAGGAAGAGAGGAAAGUGCUAAAGAGGAGAAAGAGGUAUUUUUGCAAAUAAGAGGCAACUUUGAACUUCAAGGGGCUGACUAGAAAACUCAAAUCAUAGUGUUGUAUUUGGAAAUCACCUUAAUGAUUCUAUAAUAAUGCCUAACUUCUGUAAAGGUUUUAUAGUUCUCACCACUAUUACAUUUAUUAGUAAGAACACCCUUGUCAGAUAUGCAUUAGCAGACACCCAUUUUACAGAGGAGUAAAUUGAGGUUAG
rnacentral:lncRNA from 1 species